AUUGCAUUUCAUCCUUGUGGAUUUGCUUUUAAAUGCAUAGCCAAUGUUAUUUAAAAAAAAAAAAAAAAUAGGACGCGAUUGGAAUUUGAAGUCGGCCAGCAACCGGGCAAAAGGGUCAAAAACCUUUGAAAACAAGCAACCAAAUAUUGUUUCUUUUCAUUUGAAGACAGUCUGAAAACGAAUGCCGUCUGCGUGUUAAUUGCGGGUAACUUAUUUGCACGAAGCGUUUACUCGGAUCGCUUUGGUUGCUAUACCACCUCAGCCGUUUCACCGGGAACUGUUACAGCCGGAUUUUUCAAAUUCUAACUCAUUCUGCACGGAUAAGGAAGUGAAGAGACGUUUUAACCACGAAGGUCAAAAGAGUUUUAAAGGUAAUUAUAUAGGUGUCUUGAUUGUUCCGUUCAACCGACACGGGGCUCUCUUUAUUACCAUAAACUAUAAAAGGAACUAUAAAAGUUUUUGCGCUUGGCUCUUUUAACUAUACAUCCAAGAUAAGAAUGAAACAAGGGGGAUGAUAAUCCUUUAAAAACUGGGCUAGGAUUAUGUUAUCGCCGACUGGAAAUGGCGUUUAUCUUUUUACAUGGCUGAUUGUCGAGAACUCUUGUCGCGCACAAGACUAAUCAAAUGUUAUCGUCUUUUCAGCGAUAAGAAAUAACAAGAAAUCGAUCCCCCGUUUAAUAUUCACACUCGGUCCGAAACUCAAUUUGCCAGUAGAAACGAAAUAUUUUUUUUUAAAUUUUAUUACCGUUAAACGAAACGAAAAAUUGUCGGUACAAAGAACUGAAAAUAAAAACGUGGACUAUUCAAACAUAAGACAUCUGUUGAAACAAUUUUUCGACUGUUCAAUUAUGUACAAACAAAUAUGUGAUGAAUAAGAUAACAGGACCUUCAACACGAAAAAUUUGGUUAUUUACAUUCUCCUAGAUCGACUGGAGAACAGAAUAUAAAUCGACACCCAGAAAAUAAUAAAAAAGGAUUAAUCCUUACAACCAACUGCAUUACUGGUACUUGUGAAAUGGAACGGAUAAUGAUAAAUAAACACAAAUCGACGAUACUCCAAUAAGGAAAACAGUAUAAUUAUUGAUAUUUUCUAUCAACAGAAUGGAAAUAUUUUUUUCUCAAAAUAUCCUAGAUAAUGAGUCAUGUUAAUGUUGUGAUAUCUUAAAAGUACAUUAUGAAAUAUUGUCAAUGUGUUACAUAAUCUGAUGUAUUUAUAACUCAAAAAAUUUACCUUUAACCAAUAAAGGGUUGGAAUUAAUUGACGAAGAGUGGAAAUGGUGUGAAGUCUGAAACAAUACAAUGAAUUUUAUUUGAAUUAAAAAAAAG